UACGGGGGGGGCUAGCGUUGUUCGGAAUUAUUGGGCGUAAAGAGCUCGUAGGCGGUUUGUCGCGUCUGCUGUGAAAUCCCGAGGCUCAACCUCGGGCCUGCAGUGGGUACGGGCAGACUGGAGUGCGGUAGGGGAGAAUGGAAUUCCUGGUGUAGCGGUGGAAUGCGCAGAUAUCAGGAGGAACACCGAUGGCGAAGGCAGUUCUCUGGGCCGUAACUGACGCUGAGGAGCGAAAGCGUGGGGAGCGAACAGG
rnacentral:rRNA from 1 species